rnacentral:sRNA from 1 species
ACCCUGCUCUUACUGUGUUGUUUGCACAGCUCUCUACCUCCCAAAUACUUUUUCCCUGGAAAAGCCACAGAUCGGUGCCCCAGAUACCAAGUUAGAGUACUAAAGUCCAAAUAAAUGGAGUUUACCGAUACUCGAGAUCUGCCACAUCGACCCCAAGCUUAGAGGAGUGACCUCCCCGUGCAGGCAAGGUCAACAUCCAGCUCCGGGCUCUAGCUUCUCCGACUAGGGACUAGUUCUCCAAGUGUGCCACACACACAAUCCUGGUGCUUCUGGAAAAACAGCCCAGGAGAAAGGGACUUUACCCUUCAGGCAAGCCUGAAGACAAUGCGUGGAUCGGCUUUUUCUGGGGGAGUCUGCUCCUGCUUCCUGACCUGCUUGAGUUCCAGUCCUG